CCCAACAUCAUCCUUAUCACCAUUAUUAUCAUCAUCCCCAUGUGGAAGAAGGUUGGACACAUGCUGUCGAAUCAUCACCCUCACACUCAGCCAGGUACACCCACGUUUCAGCCUCCCCAGAAGCCAGCCCCCAGUCCAGCCUGGAACGUACUGAAUAGGUCAACAUCCCACCGGCACCUGCGCGUUUGGUUUCAUUUUCUUUUCUCCAUUUUCCUUGCUUGCUGAGACCGGUCACUAUUUUUUUCCCCCCUUCCUCUCUAACUCUUCUCUGUCCUGGUAGCUGAGAUAGUCAUUGCAAUUUGACUCAGCCAAUACCUCUUCCUUCUGUAAAACCUCUUCUGAAAUCCACUGAAUCAUAAACGUCUUUGUUCAACAUCACAGCUGCCUGGCAAACAAUCAAUAGGCAAAAUGUAGCCGUCCAAAAAUAAAUGAGAAGUUGAAUGAGCGGACACUCGCUGAGCACAAUAAAACACGUGAGGAAUAGUCAACUGGAGAAACCACA